CAGCCGUAAACUAUGCUCGCUAGGUGUCAGGCAUGGCGCGACCGUGUCUGGUGCCGCAGGGAAGCCGUGAAGCGAGCCACCUGGGAAGUACGGCCGCAAGGCUGAAACUUAAAGGAAUUGGCGGGGGAGCACCACAACAGGUGGAGCCUGCGGUUUAAUUGGACUCAACGCCGGAAAUCUCACCGGAUAAGACAGCAGAAUGAUUGCCGGGCUGAAGACUCUGCAUGACUAGCUGAGAGGAGGUGCAUGGCGUCAGUGACU
rnacentral:rRNA from 1 species